rnacentral:rRNA from 1 species
UCAAGUUACAAAGAGCUAACGGUGGAUCCCUUGGCACACAGAGGCGAAGAAGGACGUAGCGACCGACGAAACGCUCCGGGGAGCUGGAAGCAAGCAUUGAUCCGGAGGUGUCCGAAUGGGGCAACCCUGCAUACUGCCCGCUGAAUAUAUAGGCGGGAAAGAGCGAACGCAGCGAACUGAAACAUCUUAGUAGCUGUAGGAAGAGAAAGCAAAAGCGAUUCCCUAAGUAGCGGCGAGCGAAAUGGGAACAGCCUAAACCUAUCUCUAAGGAGAUAGGGGUCGUGGGACAGUCACCAGAGACUAGAAAGGUUAAACGAAAUAGUUGAAAGCUAUACCAGAGAAGGUAAAAGUCCUGUAGUUGAAAACUAGACUAGCUCGACUGAAUCCCGAGUAGCACGGAGCACGUGAAAUUCCGUGUGAAUCAGCGAGGACCACCUCGUAAGGCUAAAUACUCCUGUGUGACCGAUAGCGAACCAGUACCGCGAGGGAAAAGUGAAAAGAACCCCAGUGAGGGGAGUGAAAUAGAACGUGAAACCGUUAGCUUACAAGCAGUGGGAGGACGAUUUAACGUCUGACCGCGUGCCUGUUGAAGAAUGAGCCGGCGACUUACAGGUUCUGGCAGGUUAAGACGGAAAUGUCGAAGCCAAAGCGAAAGCGAGUCUGAAUAGGGCGUUAGUCAGAAUUUGUAGACCCGAACCCGGGUGAUCUAACCAUGUCCAGGAUGAAGCUUGGGUAAAACCAAGUGGAGGUCCGAACCGACUAAUGUUGAAAAAUUAGCGGAUGAGGUGUGGUUAGGGGUGAAAUGCCAAUCGAACCCGGAGCUAGCUGGUUCUCCCCGAAAUGUGUUUAGGCGCAGCGGUUAAGAGAUUGCAUGGGGGGUAAAGCACUGUUUCGCUGCGGGCUGCGAGAGCGGUACCAAAGUGAGGCAAACUCAGAAUACCCAUGUAAAACUUAACCAGUAAGACGGUGGGGGAUAAGCUUCAUCGUCAAGAGGGAAACAGCCCAGACCACCAGCUAAGGUCCCCAAAUGGACACUAAGUGAGUAAGGAGGUGGGAGUGCAUAGACAACCAGGAGGUUUGCCUAGAAGUAGCCAUCCUUGAAAGAGUGUGUAAUAACUCACUGGUCAAGCGCUCCUGCGCCGAAAAUGAACGGGGCUAAGUGUCCUACCGAAGCUGUGGACUUACUACGUAAGUGGUAGGGGAGCGUUCUGUAUGGUGAGAAGCAUUAGCGGCAAGCAGAUGUGGACUGUACAGAAGUGAGAAUGUCGGCUUGAGUAGCGAAAAUAUGUGUGAGAAUCACAUACCCCGAAACCCUAAGGGUUUCUCCGGAAGGCUCGUCCGCGGAGAGUUAGUCGGGACCUAAGGCGAGGCCGAAAGGCGUAGUCGAUGGAUACAGGGUACAAAAUUCCCUGACUUCUAAGUGGGAGCUGCAUAAGGGACGCAUGAAAACUAGCCUUACCCUGAUUGGAUUGGGAGGAGUCUACGGACUCUGCAAGGUGAACGAUAGUGCCAAGAAAAGCUUAUGUAGUGAUGAAAGCUUAGAACCCGUACCCGAAACCGACACAGGUAGGGUGGUAGAGAAUACCGAGGGGCGCGAGGUAACUCUCUCUAAGGAACUCGGCAAAAUUACCCCGUAACUUCGGGAGAAGGGGUGCCACCGAGAGGUGGUCGCAGUGAAGAGUCCCAGGCGACUGUUUACCAAAAACAUAGGUCUCUGCCAACUCGCAAGAGGAAGUAUAGGGGCUGACGCCUGCCCAGUGCCGGAAGGUUAAGGAAGUUGGUCAGUCUUCGGAUGAAGCUAGCGACUGAAGCCCCGGUGAACGGCGGCCGUAACUAUAACGGUCCUAAGGUAGCGAAAUUCCUUGUCGGGUAAGUUCCGACCCGCACGAAAGGCGUAACGAUCUGGGAGCUGUCUCGGAGAGAGGCUCGGCGAAAUAGGAUUGUCUGUGAAGAUACGGACUCCCUGCACCUGGACAGAAAGACCCUAUGAAGCUUUACUGUAGCCUGGCAUUGUGUUCGGGCCUCAAUUGCGCAGGAUAGGUGGGAGGCGUUGAAGUAGCUCUUGUGGGAGUUAUGGAGCCACUGGUGAGAUACCACUCUAUUGAGGCUAGAAUUCUAACCCUAACCCGUUAGCCGGGAAGGGGACAGUUUCAGGUGGGCAGUUUGACUGGGGCGGUCGCCUCCAAAAAGGUAACGGAGGCGCGCAAAGGUUCCCUCAGGCUGGUUGGAAAUCAGCCGCAGAGUGCAAAGGCAGAAGGGAGCUUGACUGCGAGACUGACAAGUCGAGCAGGGACGAAAGUCGGCCUUAGUGAUCCGACGGCACUGCGUGGAAGGGCCGUCGCUCAACGGAUAAAAGUUACUCUAGGGAUAACAGGCUGAUCUCCCCCAAGAGUCCACAUCGACGGGGAGGUUUGGCACCUCGAUGUCGGCUCAUCGCAACCUGGGGCGGAAGUACGUCCCAAGGGUUGGGCUGUUCGCCCAUUAAAGCGGUACGUGAGCUGGGUUCAGAACGUCGUGAGACAGUUCGGUCCAUAUCCGGUGCAGGCGCAAGAGCAUUGAGAGGAUUCUUCCUUAGUACGAGAGGACCGGGAAGAACGCACCUCUGGUGUACCUGUUAUCGUGCCAACGGUAAACGCAGGGUAGCCAAGUGCGGAGCGGAUAACCGCUGAAAGCAUCUAAGUGGGAAGCCCACCUCAAGAUGAGUGCUCUCAUGGCAUAAGCCAGUAAGGUCACGGGCAGACUACCCGUUAAUAGGUGCUAGGUGGAAGUGCAGUAAUGUAUGCAGCCGAGGCAUCCUAACAGACCGAGGGCUUGACCUC